rnacentral:rRNA from 1 species
CCUACGGGUGGCAGCAGUGGGGAAUAUUGGACAAUGGGGGCAACCCUGAUCCAGCCAUGCCGCGUGUGUGAAGAAGGCCCUCGGGUUGUAAAGCACUUUCAGUGAGGAAGAACGCCUGGUGGUUAAUACCCAUCAGGAAAGACAUCACUCACAGAAGAAGCACCGGCUAACUCCGUGCCAGCAGCCGCGGUAAUACGGAGGGUGCGAGCGUUAAUCGGAAUUACUGGGCGUAAAGCGCGCGUAGGUGGCUUGAUAAGCCGGUUGUGAAAGCCCCGGGCUCAACCUGGGAACGGCAUCCGGAACUGUCAAGCUAGAGUGCAGGAGAGGAAGGUAGAAUUCCCGGUGUAGCGGUGAAAUGCGUAGAGAUCGGGAGGAAUACCAGUGGCGAAGGCGGCCUUCUGGACUGACACUGACACUGAGGUGCGAAAGCGUGGGUAGCAAACAGGAUUAGAUACCCGUGUAGUC